rnacentral:rRNA from 1 species
UCGGCCAAGCACUUUGGAAGAGAUGCCUUGGUGCCUUCGGGAACUCGUGAGACAGGUGCUGCAUGGCUGUCGUCAGCUCGUGUUGUGAAAUGUUGGGUUAAGUCCCGCAACGAGCGCAACCCUUAUCCUUUGUUGCCAGCGGUCCGGCCGGGAACUCAAAGGAGACUGCCAGUGAUAAACUGGAGGAAGGUGGGGAUGACGUCAAGUCAUCAUGGCCCUUACGACCAGGGCUACACACGUGCUACAAUGGCAUAUACAAAGAGAAGCGACCUCGCGAGAGCAAGCGGACCUCAUAAAGUAUGUCGUAGUCCGGAUUGGAGUCUGCAACUCGACUCCAUGAAGUCGGAAUCGCUAGUAAUCGUGGAUCAGAAUGCCACGGUGAAUACGUUCCCGGGUCUUGUACACACCGA